GCUCCCUUGGUCUAGCCCGGUCAACGAUCUCGCCCUUUCGAGGCGAGGACCCGAGUUCAAAUCUCGGAGGGAGCG
rnacentral:tRNA from 1 species